AUAGAUUGAAUAUAUUUUUUUCAUUUAAAAAGUUUUUUUUUUUUUAUAAUUAUGAUCGGAGUAUAUAUAAAACGUUGACAUAGUAAAAGUGAAAAAUCGGUUAUAAAGUAACGUAUUGCGAACUUUACUUCAUUGAGUCAUCACUAUUCAACUACGAAUCCCCAUCCAUCCUCUCUGCUCAAUUUCUCAAAUCAACCUCUCCUCCUCCUCCUCAAGGUACUCUUUCUGUUCUUAAUCUCAUAUAUCUGCAAUCUGUUUAUUUAGGGCUGUUUUUGCUUCAUCUAUGGGGAAAAUUAAUAAACCUUUUUCGUUGCUUUUAAUUCAUUCAGAGAUCUCACCAAAUCAAUUCAAAUUUCAUUAUGAGAUCUCAUCAAUCCUGAUUUUAGCUGUGUUUUGUUUUUUUUUCUUUCAAUUUUUUGGUAUUAUUAUAUAUUUUAUUGAAUUGAAUAGAAUAUUCAGAUUGUUGAACUGUCA
rnacentral:lncRNA from 1 species